CCUACGGGUGGCUGCAGUGAGGAAUAUUGGUCAAUGGCCGGAAGGCUGAACCAGCCAUGCCGCGUGAAGGUCAGUGCCCUAUGGGCGUUAAACUUCUUUUGUGCGGGAGCAAUAAUGGUCACGUGUGGCCAGACGAGAGUACCGUACGAAUAAGCAUCGGCUAACUCCGUGCCAGCAGCCGCGGUAAUACGGGGGAUGCAAGCGUUAUCCGGAUUUAUUGGGUGUAAAGGGAGCGCAGGCGGCACGGCAAGCCUGAUGUGAAAGCCCGCGGCCCAACCGCGGGACUGCAUUGGGAACUACCGGGCUGGAGUGCCGGAGAGGUAGGCGGAAUUCGUGGUGUAGCGGUGAAAUGCUUAGAUAUCACGAAGAACCCCGAUUGCGAAGGCAGCUUACUAAACUGUGACUGACAUUGAUGCUCGAAAGUGUGGGUAUCAAACAGGAUUAGAUACCCGAGUAGUC
rnacentral:rRNA from 1 species